UCAGUGUCUGUUUCAGGCAGAGGGAAAAAUGCAGAAACCACGGUAAACCUCAGGUUUGAGGCCCACUGGCCGCACGUCCUCUUAUCCAAGCCUGCGACCACUCGGGAGCCAAAGGGGCGGCUACUGGAGCCUCGCUGAAUGGAUGGGAGAGCAGGGCUCUGAGGACCAGCACCCAAGGAGCCUGAUGCUUGCCCCUCUGCAGGAGAUUCCUGCCCCCUCCAAACAAGACCAUCAGCCAGUAAUUGGGGGAUAACUCGACAUUUCUCUGAUAGGAAGAUUUUAUACUUUAAAUUUCAGAAGUGUCAAAGUGAGCGCCACCUGCACGUCACCCUAAUCCCCACGCCUCCUUCAGCCCCAGCCAACUCUUCACCCACCAGCCCCUCACCUGGACUCCUCGGUUUCCACCCAUUGGUACAUCUCCACGUGCCGCCGCAGCUUCACAGCCGGGAGGUAGACCCCGUAGUUUGGAUCAGACAAGAGCUUCAGAUAGAAUCAAACAAGAAAAAUAAAGGACAAGAAUGCCCAGCUUGGGGAAGCCAGGCUGGAGGAGAAACAGGUCCAGAGCGCAGAAGAGCACAGAGAACUCCGCGGCUGCUCGCAUGGGGAGACGAGGGAAGCUGCCCGUCCCGAGUGCUGAACCUGCAAGCCUGUGACACGAGCCGCGUGCACAGCUCAGGCUGCUCGGCCCAAGUGCGCGGUACCCACGCAGCGUGUCGGGUGUUCAGACAGAAGACCUGGCACCAGACACACAAAUCCAUCAUCACUGUUAAAGCGCCUCUUUGUGAGGCUCUUGCUUCGGGCCAGAGACUGUGCCAGGAGGGUAGCUACUGAAUCCCACCCAAUCUUCAGAACCGGGCCCUGGUCUGUUACAAUUAUUCUCCCCAUUUGACAGAGGAAGACACUGAGACUCAGGAAAGAUGGGUCCACACGGCUGCUGAGAGAUACAGCGGGAGUCACACCAAGUGUCCCCGUCUCCAAGGCCCACGCUUUCAAAUCCUCCAUCAGACAAUAUCCUGCGAUGUGUCCCGGCCUCCGCGGGUCAGCAACCACCGCCAAGCCUACCUUAGACGUCCGCAGGGCCCCAGGGAUGUGCACCAGCCUCCCCUCAUUCUCUGGAGCCACACUGUGGAUGCUGUCGGGGGUCACCACCAGCGAGAGUCCCUCAGCCAGCAAGGUCGCCGUCUUCACUGUGCGGCCCU